AAAAAAUUUGAUACAUAAAAAUAUGAAUUGGCACACAAUUUAAGUUUUAAAGAUCAAGUCAAUUAGGACUCAUUAGUGAAUAUCAAAAUAGAUUUUCUAAAAGAUACUCAAGAAAAUUUUACACGUUAUUCUCUCCCUUUUUCAUUAAGUUAGAGGCUCUUUAAGCUCAACUUGCAAUUUGGUUCAUGAUUUAUGCAUAAGAUAUACUAACCAAAUAACACGCCUCAAAGUGUAUCAUAAAGAUUUUCAGAUUUAAAUUUCAGAUGAUACAUAUUGGAGAGUAUUAGGAUCACUUUUCAUUUAGUAUUCUUUUCCUCUCCUUUAGUUAUAGAUUUAUGCGAUUAAGUUCCAUAAGAUCUUUCCUUCUGAAAUUUUUUUUCUCCCCCUUAAUUGAUCAUUCCAUUUUAAGAGUUUAGAAUUUGUAGAUAAUGUUCAAUAAGAUUGUCAAUCUCAAAAAUAUAUUUCAGCUUAUUUUCAUAAGACUCAAGGUUUGAGACAAGACAACCUUUAUAGAACUCAUCUCAAGGUAUAAACUUAUAAUUAAAGC
rnacentral:lncRNA from 1 species